UGGUGAUGCAACUUCUAUGUUCCAGUUUCCAUUACAAAGGAGAAAGAAGAACAUACCAAAGUUGGUUCAUCUAGCAAACUGACAACAACAUCUAAGAAAUGUUUUGCAACAAUAGAACUUAAUGGAAGUUAUACACGUGGCCAAAUGGUAAUUGACCAUGAUAACAAACUGAAAAGGAAUUCCAAUGUUUUAAUCAUGACCGCUGUAGAUAAAGAGCUGUAUCGACGGUACCUUCGCAUGGCCUUUGGUGGAGAAUUUUAAACUAGGGUGAGAGAUUCUAUAAAGAUGUGCCAAUUUCAUGACUUUACUUUGAUUAUAUAUAUUGGUUGUAUCAUCAGAAGAGUGUAGUCUGCCUCUAAGACUCAGUUUAUUUUAUCCUUUCGUACUGUAUUUGUGUUUCAUUUCAUAUACUUCAACAGAUGUGCAUUCUCUUCCAAAAACAAUGAAAGCUUUUUAAAUCUUAAAUUAAUUUUUAUUUGUCACUGGCUAGUUUUGCUUUAUUUUUCUGUCAAUGAUAUUUACUAAUUAUGUGAUCCAUUAUUCAUUUUGAUCAAAUCAUUCAUGUAAAACUUUCUUUUAAGAAAUGUUUUGUUAAGUUUGAUUUUCUUGCAUUAAUUUGUAUGUACUUUACAUUCCUGUAUGUGACCCAGAAUGAAUGUUGAAUUUCAGGUAAGCAAACAUUCAGAAAUAAGAUAAAUGUGUUAAUACUUUACAAAUAUAUUUUUAUGCUGUUCCUCU